rnacentral:tRNA from 1 species
GCCUGGGUGGCUCAGCGGUUGAGCAUCUGCCUUCAGCUCAGGGCGUGAUCCCGGAGUCCUGGGAUCAAGUCCCAAAUCGGGCU